rnacentral:tRNA from 1 species
GGAGAGAUGGCCGAGUGGUUGAAGGCGCACGAUUGGAAAUCGUGUAUACGUUAAUAGCGUAUCGAGGGUUCGAAUCCCUCUUUCUCCG